rnacentral:rRNA from 1 species
UACGAAGGGGGCUAGCGUUGCUCGGAAUCACUGGGCGUAAAGGGCGCGUAGGCGGCGUUUUAAGUCGGGGGUGAAAGCCUGUGGCUCAACCACAGAAUGGCCUUCGAUACUGGGACGCUUGAGUAUGGUAGAGGUUGGUGGAACUGCGAGUGUAGAGGUGAAAUUCGUAGAUAUCGGGAGGAACACCAGUGGCGAAGGCGGCGACCUGGGCCAAUAUUGACGCUGAGGUGCGAAAGCGUGGGGAGCAAACAGG